rnacentral:snoRNA from 2 species
GCCAUUGAUGAAAUAGCCCAAUGAUUGGAGGCUGCAAUCCGCCCCAAGUUCCUGCUUGUCAGGAAGAACCUACUUGGGUUGGCGCAUUCGCAGACAACCCCGGGCAAUCCUGAGGU